UACGUAGGGUGCAAGCGUUGUCCGGAAUUAUUGGGCGUAAAGAGCUCGUAGGCGGCUUGUCGCGUCGGCUGUGAAAACCUGGGGCUCAACUCCGGGCCUGCAGCCGAUACGGGCAAGCUAGAGUUCGGUAGGGGAGUCUGGAAUUCCUGGUGUAGCGGUGAAAUGCGCAGAUAUCAGGAGGAACACCGGUGGCGAAGGCGGGACUCUGGGCCGAUACUGACGCUGAGGAGCGAAAGCAUGGGGAGCGAACAGG
rnacentral:rRNA from 1 species